rnacentral:rRNA from 1 species
AUACGGAGGGUGCAAGCGUUACUCGGAAUCACUGGGCGUAAAGGACGCGUAGGCGGACUGGAAAGUCAGAUGUGAAAUCCUACAGCUUAACUGUAGAACUGCAUUUGAAACUUCUAAUCUAGAGUAUGGGAGGGGGAGAUGGAAUUAGUGGUGUAGGGGUAAAAUCCGUAGAUAUCACUAGGAAUACCGAAAGCGAAGGCGAUCUCCUGGAACAUAACUGACGCUAAGGCGUGAAAGCGUGGGGAGCAAACGGGAUUAGAAACCCUAGUAGUCC